AUCCUGGUAUCCUGGUAUAUAAACUGUAACAAAAGAAAGAGGUCGUAACACGGAACGCGUACAUCGAUGGGUGCAACGACCCGAAUCAUGUAAACAAUUAUAGACGUAAACACAACAAUAUUCGUGUGUAUUUGUCGCUACUGCAUACUGAUAAUAGUAUGCAUACCAAAAAGGGAUUUGGUGGUACAUGAAGGGAUCGUAUUGAAAUUUGAAAGUCAGCUGCAGUCUACAGUCAACAUAUUAAUGUUUUAAGUUUCUAUUUUUUUUUAUACAUUUACUUCUGCUACCAAUACUUCUACUAUAGCGGUCUACCAAACUUAUGUUCUAGCUCGUCAUCAGAAAACAAAAAAAGGACACAAAAAUUUGACAUAAUUUUAUUGAAUUUGCUCGGUAAACAAUUGUAGACGCAAACACAGGAAUGUGUGAGUGAUAAUUAUUGCAAAUUAUUGAGCCACUAACAAUAGUAUACACACCAGGCUUGAGGGCAAUGGUUGGUAUUCGGAGGGAUCGUAUCGGAGAUCUUAUUGAAGUCAGUGGCAGUCGACAGUCAACAAACUUUCGACAAAAAUUUUUUAGGUAAACAAUUGUGGACAUAAACAAAACAAUUUGUGAGCAAUUAGGCCACUGAUAAUAGCAUGAUAUAGUUUUACCAAACUUGCUGAAAAUAGUGAAAUAACA